GCAGUGGCAGUCGGGACCCAGCAUGAACAUGAGGGCCUCCAUGCAGCUCCUCAGCCUCUUGCUGCUCUGGCUCCCAGGUGCCAGCUGUGCCAUCCAGCUGACCCAGUCUCCAGCCUCCCUGGCUGCAUCUCUAGGAGACACAGUCUCCAUCACUUGCCGGGCCAGUCAGAGUGUUAGCAAUAAUUUAGCCUGGUAUCAACAACAAGCAGGGAAGGCUCCUAAGCUCCUCAUUUACUGGGCAUCCGCUUUGCAAAGUGGAGUCCCUUCCCGGUUCAAGGGCAGUGGAUCUGGCACUGAUUUCACCCUCACCAUCAGUGGCCUGCAGGCUGAAGAUGUUGCAACUUAUUCUUGUCAGCAGCUUAACAGUGCACCUCCCACAGUGUUACAGCCAGCACAAACCCCCCCCUCCCCGGGGAAGCAGAUGUGUGAGGCUGGCCACCCCAGCUGCUCUUGGUGCUCCAACCGCUGA